rnacentral:lncRNA from 1 species
UUUGUGUUUGAGGUAUUCUGAUUGUUUAGCAUGUCCAUUUUAUUCUUUGGAUUAUUUAUUGUUCAUACUUAUCUUAGCAACUUAUGGACACUUUCAAAAGUGAGUUUUCUGCUGCACAUAUUUUGUAAAUUUUGAAAAAUUUAACUCAACCCCCCCCCCCCCAAAAAAAAAAAAACAAAGGAAUUAUUGAGAAUUAUCCAAGGAAGCAUGAUUUGGUAUAAUAGUGCGUCAAUAUUUGAACAUACAAUUUAACUUAGGUUGCUACAUUAAACUAAUGGCCUAAACUUUAGCCUAUGCACACAGAUAUAUCUACCAAUUUGUAAGGUAGAUAGUAUCACUCUAAUACUUUUUUUUUUUAAAUCUCUAAAUACCUCACAGCCAUCAUAUUGAGAGAAAUGCUGCAGUUUGAGGAAGCAUGGAGCAGGAAGAAUAUUCUUUUUGACAAAAAAAUCUGUAAACAUUAGAUUCCAAUUUUGAUUAUUUUAUGAAUAAUAAUUUUAAGAUUAAAAAUAUUUUACUAUUUAAUUAUUAUAGAUUGGAUUUAUAUUAAAAUUUAUUAUUUUUUUAAGUUCAAGUCUUCCUAGAACUUUAGCAUUAUUUUUUAUAUAUUUAUUUAUUUUAAAUAAAGGAUCCAUGUAUUGCACAUGCCACAUUGUAAUUAGAAUCGGAGAUAUUAGAACUAAGAUUUUUCGCAUGCCUUUCAUAUUGGAUUGGGGAAGCAUAGUAUGGAGAGUAUUAUUUUUUGACAAAAAAUCUAAAAGCCUCGGAUUCUAAUUUUGAUUAUUUUAAUUAAGAUAGUUUUCAGAUUAAGAUAUUUUAUUAUUUAAUCAUUAUAUAUCAUGUUUGUAUUAGAAAUAUCAUAACUAUUUUAUUACAUUUGUCUAUCAAAAAUUUAAGUCCUACAAGAAAACUUCUCUAACUUUUUUUUUGCAUUAUUAAUAUCCAGAGCAACAAAUUUUGUACUAUUUUCUAUAAGAGUUCGAGUCGAGUGAAUUUGAGGAAUUGCUUCCUUCUUCUCUCUUUAUUCGAAUCAUAGAAUAGCAAUACCACUAAAAUUCUCUUACCAAGAAUUCCAUUCAUGGAAUUGUGCCACCCAUUCUCGAGCUCUCAAUCCCACCACCCAAACAGGGGCUAUAGGGGAAGGAACUGAGAAAUUGGAUUUUAUGGGAUGAGAGUGGUUUAGCUCUGUUGCCAAAUGGAAACUGAAUAAUGCUUAGAACCCUCCUACAAUACAUUGCAUACUUUUGAGAUUUAUGCCCAUCUUUUUUAUUGUUUUUUUUUUUUUUUUUGUCUGAAAGCGGAUGUUUCAUAUAGUGCGUAUACGGAUACACCUAAAAAAGUCAAAAUACAACAAUUCGCAGAGUGCUAGUGGCAGCUCUCCCUCCCCUGACCAAAGAUUGUACCCUGAGUGGUGGGCCGCUAUCCAGUCGGCCGCCCCAUUGGCUUUUCUAAAUACAUGCUUGGCCUGAAAGACCCUCCCAUCUGUCAUCAUCAUCCCUAUGUUACGGAUUAAGGGGUGGUCUGUGCCGUCACCCCUCGACCCCCUCUAAAUCCACCCGAUAACCGUAGCCAUCUUUAUGUAUUCAAUGAUGCAUUUGGAAAGCAUUUCAAAUCUCAAAGGCCACCAUGUAUUAAAUUUUCAGCGAGAAGUCUAUCUUUGGAUCGUUAUCAUUAUCAUCACCUUUAAAUAAGCACCCCUAAACUAGUGGAGAUCAUGCUCAAAUAGGCACGGUUUCUCCGAUGGAUUUUGCUGUCAAUAUGCGAGCAUGGCAAUACGGGAGGCCGGCUUAAGUUGGCAUGAUUAGAACUAGAACACAUGAUUUAUCUCAGUAAGCGACUAAUGAGGUUUUUUUGGUUCAAUAAGAGUGACUAAAGCAUGGUUCCGCAAUGACAGAUCAUAGACAUGAUAUGGGUGUUACUAAUCAUGGUUCGGCACAGUUCGAGUACAGCACCAAAAAUUUCUGCUGUGGUUUAUUCCAACUCCAUAGCGACAUGUUUGGCGUUCAGAAACAAUUUGGAUAUUUCAAAUUGAGAACAAAAAUAUAACUUCAUCAAAAGUUUGAAAAACUCAAAUAAUUAUAUAUAUAAAAAAGAAAAUAAUGGACAUUAGAUUUUUAAAAAAUUGGCAUAUUUACUCAUGAAAAUUAGCAUAAAAAUGAAGAAUAAAUCCAUGUCCACCUCAUGAUUGAAUAGAUCUGAACGGAUUUGUUUAUUGAGAAUAUUUCAAAGAAUCAUUUGGAGAAGGAAAAGCUUGAAAAAAGCUGGGUCUUUUCGGCCACUCAAGAGAAUAUUGCUUCUGUUGUCCAUUCCUAUCCUGAGUUACCCAUAAUUCUCAUGUUACUUGCCACAUGGUUGGCUCAGACAAGAUUUCAUCGCCUACAUAAAGAGUUCUUUGAUAUACUUAGGAACAUAUGUUGCCCCAAAUAAGUAAUAGAGAGAGAAAAAGAGAGAAGCUAAGACAAGGGAGAGGCAUCAAAUCAAUAAUGGUCAGACAACCAUCUGCAAGUUCCUUCUGUAAUAUAGUGGAGAGAUCCACAGAGUUGCAAGGAAAAAGGAAGCAUGGAGAUCCCAAAUUUCAAUGUGCAACAGAAAAUAGUCAACAACAAUAUGAAGCCACUGUUUUGUUUGUUUCUUGAAUUUGUUUUAUUUAGUCUUUUAAUACUGCACCCUCACUGUUAUAUAUACAAGUAACAGAAUUAGAACAAACUCCAAUGGAGGAAAAAAAAAGAAAAAAAAGAGAAGAAAAGUAUAUAAUGCACACAGCUCCAUUGAGUUAACAGCUCCCAAGUGCUUCCAAAAUGCUAAAAAAGGAUUGGCAGAGAUCACUGGAGCUGUUAAAAACUGGGAGGAAAAACACUUCUAGUUAAGUACCUUUUCUUGGAUCAUCAACAUAUCCAUCCACAGGUCGUAUGAGUUAUUAUACCGGGUAAUGUUUAUCUAACACCAGUAAAAAAGGACCCAUAUCAUUCACCUUUAUUUUUUUCUGGUUUCACUAAUUUCUUCUCGCAAAGACAACCUUUGGGCUUGCCUGAAGCUGAAGAAGGCAAUCAUGCACUGUGGGCUUGGAGUUGUUCUCAAAAUCAGGCUUAAGUCUCAUCUGCAAUGUAAACAUUUAUUUAUGUUUGAUGAGUUUAACAAAUACAGUACAACUUUGCCAAAGUUGAAUAUGAUAUUGUAAUUCAUUACAAGGUAUGAUUUUAGCCGAUGGAAAGAACUAGUUGAAUGUAAAAAGAAAUUAUUCGUGAAUCACCUCUUGAUCUCAAGUCCCCUUUUUUUACAGCUAAAGGUACUCAGCAACAUGUCAUGCGCUAAUUAACUUAAAGAGGAGUAUUUUCAAUCAGGUAAACAACAAAAGCCAAUUAUGCCUCAUGCUCUUUUAAGCAUCGAUUUCAUGCCACAUGCAUAAAUAAUCAAACAUGUUAUGCAUUUCUACAUAUAAACACACCAAAAUGACGAAAAAACGCUAGUUGCAGCAUGCAAUUAUCAAAAGAAAGAAAAGAAAGAUUACUAACACAUGGUAUAUAUGAAACAUAGUUUGUUUUUGAUUUUGAACUGAUAACAUUACAAAUCUGUACCGAUUUCGGUCACAAUACAUGCAGUGCUUGUUGCUGCAAAAAAAGAAUUAAAAAAUGCAUUGAUGUAUGUAAUCCAUUCUUUGUUAUUAAAAUCUGAGAUGUCCCUCCAAAAAUUAAUCUAAAAUCACAAGCAAAGUUUCAAAUAUCGUGCAAUUUGGUCACGUACUGCUUGCUGGCAGGUACAGAGUGUUAGGUGAGGACCCAAUGACGACUUAGUUUUUCACUCUCGAACUCAAGUCGAAUAAAUCUAGACAUAUGUCGGACGACGGGGUUUGACGAGUUAUCCAUGACCUCCGGUCUGUAGGAAUCCAUGAUAGAAAUACUGUAUCAUACGAUAACUGCACCUACAGGUUCAUCAUUCUACUCUGCUGGGUAGCCACUACAUACUGCUAGGUGUCACUGGUGGAUGGUGAGACUCACAGGGACCAUUCUGAUGGUCGAUGAUCCCUGGUGAAAUCACAAAGGGGAUAAAGAUGAGCUCCUAUUUUGAAUUCACAAAGGGAUAAAGAUGAGCUCCUAAAAUUUAGGAGCUCAUCUCUAUCCCCACACCAUAAAAGAGGGGUUCAAAGGGGCUACGAAUUUUUCAUGGUUUUUCCUUGGGAUUUUUGGCAGCAAGGAACCUCCUUCCAUCCCUCCUUUCAGCCACAAGAAAGCAAGAAAAAAAGGCUUGUGGCGUGGCCCUUCUUCCUUCCAUUCUUUGGUUCCAACGCGAAGGGAAAAAUGAAAGACUGCGGGUUUUACAUUCUUCUUCCUACAUCCCUCCUUCUUCCUCCUCUCAAGGUAAUCAAAAGUUGAUUCAAAGGAGAGGAUAUCAGCCAUCAAAAGCUAUCUCUGCAAGGGAGCUAGCACCCCGGGAAGAUCCAAAAGCUUCAAUUGGUGCUAUACCUCGUGUGGAUACCUGUAGAGGCCGGAUGCGUGUGCGGCUUCCAUCGAACCUUCAACAAAUCCACGUAAAUCAGAUUUGCAGAGACCAUCUACCCGCACAAGAUGAAGAUCUGAUCUUCUUAAUGAUUUUAAAAUGGUUUAUAAGAAUUUAAUCCUAAUCUAUCUACAAACGACGGUUUUAAAAUACGUUCAUGCGAUGAACGGGAUCGCACAUGCCCUUCCGCUGCACAUCUAAAAAUUUUUGAAAUUUUUCUGCGGCAUGCAUCAGAUCCUAACAGUGGUAUCAGAGCCAGGUUAUGUAGAUUAAGAUUGGAAUUAAAUUUUUAAAGGCAUUUUAAAUCUAAAAUUUAAAGAAUUAUGCUUGCUGAAAUUUUCUGCAUACAGAAUUUUCAGCUUGCUGAUUUUUCUGCAUGCUAAUUUUUGAAUGCUUAGAUUAAUGAUUCUAAUGCUUUGGUAAUGUGAUUACAAAUAUUUAGAAUCAUAUCUUGCAUAAUCAGCAAGUCAUAAGAUGAAAUAAUCAGUUAAAUUACAGAUCUGAAAAUAAUAUUUAUGCAUGAGAUGCGUAUGGUGAUGAUCAUGGAUGGACCCUUUUGAAUGUGCUGAAAUAUUCUGCGAUAUUCUGUGAUGCUAUGUGAUGGCAUGUAAUUUUAAUUUUCAGAUGCCUGCGUGCAUCUUAAAUUCAUGUAUUAAAGACCUGCGUGUCUCAUGAAAAAGGGUUGUAAUUUAUUCUUUUAUUUUAUUUAAUUUUUAAAGCAAUCUGGGAUGUAAUCUGUGAUGUGUGUUGCACGUCGAUGGUUGAUCGAUAUGUACAUUAACAAGCUUAACAUGCACGGAUCGAAAUCAAGGGUUGAUUGAAGAUGGAUCAAGGAGUUGAUCACAAUUGGACCUAGGGAUCAAGAUCAAGUCAAAAGUUGAAGAUGAUCAAACCAAUUGACGUGCAUGUGAUUGUAAAAUGACCCCAUCCUGGAUCCAUGAUCAUCACCAUUUAAAUUUAUUUGUUGAUAAAUGCCUGGAUGUUUAAUGCUUAUGUCUAUACGGGUAGAUAUAUAUUUGCAUGAGAUGUGAAUAGUCGAUCGAGAGAGACCUAAAUACAAACCUUCUCAAUCAGUCAAGAGUGAACCAACAUGAGCUAGUCAUAUUAGAUUAAUUGAUCUAAUUGGUGUCUAGGCAGCUUAAAAGGUGGUUACUUAAUUAGGACCUUACUCUUCGAGUAAGGGGAACCUCCCACCUGCUUACCUGGCCAAUUGUUCCAUGCGAAACCAAUCACCGGCUAGUACAACCUCCGAUACCAAUUCGGAGAACCUUAAUUCUUGGAUAUUGCUAAAAGAAUGAUCUAUAUGUGUCCGUUUUUAAAAUUUAAAUAUGUUUUUUUUGAAUCCAUACUAACUAAAUAGUUAAUAGCACCAAGCUCCAUAAAAUAUGCAUAGAAGAGUAUAUUAGAACAAUAGUAAUUAUGCCAUCUUUAAGUGAAGCAUUAAAGUCGAUUUUAGAAGAAUUUGACAAACAUAACACAGAUCACCAACCUCAUAGUUUUGAAGUAAAUAUGCAAGCAAUGCUGAUAUUCCAUGAAUUGCAAACUUUUGUCCAAUGCAUGCUCGUGCACCAGCCCCAAAAGGAAGAAAUGCUGCACUUUUAUUUGGUUCACUUAUAAAUGGGCACUCUUCAUGCUUCUCAUGUUCCUCAAAUGUGCCUGCAAUUUCAUUUUGAGACAGAUAUUGAAAACAUUAACAAAUAAGUAUCUCAAAGAAAUGCUUUAAAGGAAUGAAAAAUGGAAUAAAUUCCAUUUCCUUUGAAGGGAGAUUGAAGUAUUGGGAGCGAACAUGCAUAAAUUAUAAAAUUGAAGGAGCCAAAAUGCAUGAUAAUGGAGGAGUUCUAUUAAACCUUUGUAAAUAAAUCAAAGCUAUAUCAUCUAAUAUUGCUUUGAUAUACCAGGAAUUAGGAAGCAUCUUACUCAGUAAAACUAUCAGAAAUAAAGCACAAUCCUUCAAACUAUUGGUAAAAGAAAUCAACCCCAUUAUGCCCAAAAGUAAUGCUCAAUCCUUAUUUGAUUUAAACAACUAAUACAGGUGACUGGCAUUGGUUGUUCUCGUCAGGUGCAACAAUUAUUGUAGCAUCAGACAAAUUGGCAAUAGCCUUUUUGUUCAUAGAAAUUCUUAAUAAGAUAAUUCUCAAAUGGUGAAAAAUCUCAGAAGACAAUGAUACAAAAAUGCAACCAACUAAAAGCCACAGAAAUAUUAUACUACCAAGAAGAGCAAAAUAUUGAUGUGUAGAAAAAGGAGAGAGAAAUGAACAUAGCUUUUGACACAAGAAUAAGAUCGUCUUAAACAACAAUAAGCAGCCUCCCACAAGAUUUUAGAAUUUUGGUUCAAGUCUUGGUUUUGAUAAGAGGACUAAAGUAUUGGCUGAAACAUGCUUCGACUGGGAUAGAUCUCAAACUGAUCAAAAAAUUCAGUUUCGGCCACCGGUUUCAACAGUUUCAGAUGAAACCAACUGAAGCUGCCGUUCUUUUACCCCAUUUGUUAACAAGUAUAUGUAUUUAUGUUUAAUAUGUGUUCGAUAUUAUUAAAUCACACGUUCAUCUGAGUCUCUAAUGAUCUUAUCUAUAUAACUUUUGUCUAAGUUAUUAUACUGGAAAGUCAAUGUAUUAAAAAGUGGAUAGAAAGCACAUAACAGCCAGGGGGGCUCCUAGCCAAUAGCGAAUAGCAAGUGCUAUGUACCCAAAGCAGGCUGUUGAAGUAUAUAUAUAUUUUCUUACUAAAUAUCAAAGAUAUCAACUCUACAUCAACUUCAUGUAAAAAAUGAAGAAAAUAAAGAAAAAUUUAAAACAACAUCCACGUAUCAUCGUAAUAUCAUAUCAACAUUUAUAAUUUUGUAUAAUGUAAAGGUACACGAUCUAAUGAGCAAUAUCAUCAUCCACCAAACAUAAUUACAUCACUCAAUAAAGAUGUCUACAAUAUGAUAACAUCAACCAUAGAAGAAAGAUGUCCACAAUCAUACAAAUAAUCCACUUCUCCUUAUCCUCUCUCUCUCUC